rnacentral:rRNA from 1 species
CCUACGGGUGGCAGCAGUGGGGAAUAUUGCACAAUGGGGGAAACCCUGAUGCAGCGACGCCGCGUGAGUGAAGAAGUAUUUCGGUACGUAAAGCUCUAUCAGCAGGGAAGAAAAUGACGGUACCUGACUAAGAAGCCCCGGCUAACUACGUGCCAGCAGCCGCGGUAAUACGUAGGGGGCAAGCGUUAUCCGGAUUUACUGGGUGUAAAGGGAGCGUAGACGGCAGCGUAAGUCUGAAGUGAAAUCCCAUGGCUUAACCAUGGAACUGCUUUGGAAACUGUGCAGCUGGAGUGCAGGAGAGGUAAGCGGAAUUCCUAGUGUAGCGGUGAAAUGCGUAGAUAUUAGGAGGAACACCGAUGGCGAAGGCAGCCCCCUGGGACGCAACUGACGCUCAUACACGAAAGCGUGGGGAGCAAACAGGAUUAGAUACCCUUGUAGUC